rnacentral:rRNA from 1 species
AUUGAACGCUGGCGGCAGGCCUAACACAUGCAAGUCGAGCGGAGCGGCUUACGGGCGAGUGAUGCCUAGGUAUCUGCCUGGCCGCGGGGGAUAGCGUCCGUAUACGGACCCUAAUACCGCAUCCUAUCAGAUGAGCCUAGAUCGGAUUAGCUAGUGGGUGGGGUAAAGGCCUACCAAGGCGACGAUCCGUAACUGGACUGAGAGGAUGAUCAGUCACACUGGAACUGAGACACGGUCAAGACUCUUACGGGAGGCAGAAGUGGGGAAUAUUGGACAAUGGGCGAAAGCCUGAUCAAGCCAUGCGGGGUGUGUGAAGAAGGUCUUCGGAUUGUAAAGCACUUUAAGUUGGGAGGCGGUACCAACAGAAUAAGCAACGGCUAACUACGUGCCAGCAGCCGCGGUAAUUC